GAUGAACGCUGGCGGCGUGCCUAAUACAUGCAAGUCGAGCGAACUGACGAGGAGCUUGCUCCUCUGACGUUAGCGGCGGACGGGUGAGUAACACGUGGAUAACCUACCUAUAAGACUGGGAUAACUUCGGGAAACCGGAGCUAAUACCGGAUAAUAUAUUGAACCGCAUGGUUCAAUAGUGAAAGACGGUUUUGCCGUCACUUAUAGAUGGAUCCGCGCCGCAUUAGCUAGUUGGUAAGGUAACGGCUUACCAAGGCAACGAUGCGUAGCCGACCUGAGAGGGUGAUCGGCCACACUGGAACUGAGACACGGUCCAGACUCCUACGGGAGGCAGCAGUAGGGAAUCUUCCGCAAUGGGCGAAAGCCUGACGGAGCAACGCCGCGUGAGUGAUGAAGGUCUUCGGAUCGUAAAACUCUGUUAUUAGGGAAGAACAAAUGUGUAAGUAACUAUGCACGUCUUGACGGUACCUAAUCAGAAAGCCACGGCUAACUACGUG
rnacentral:rRNA from 1 species